GAUAAAGAUGCAUAAUCCUGAGUCCCACCUCAGACCUACCAAAUCUAAAGCCUCUGAAAGGGGAGCCCAGGAAUCUGCAUUUU
rnacentral:miRNA from 14 species